AAUAUUUAAAAAAAGGAUUAUUUUGAUAGAAUAAAUCAUGUAUUUUAAAUACUCUUAUUG
rnacentral:tRNA from 1 species